GGGGGAUAACACUUAGAAAUAGGUGCUAAUACCGCAUAAGCGCACGGUUCCGCAUGGAACAGUGUGAAAAACUCCGGUGGUAUACGAUGGAUCCGCGUCUGAUUAGCCAGUUGGCGGGGUAACGGCCCACCAAAGCGACGAUCAGUAGCCGGCCUGAGAGGGUGAACGGCCACAUUGGGACUGAGACACGGCCCAAACUCCUACGGGAGGCAGCAGUGGGGAAUAUUGCACAAUGGGGGAAACCCUGAUGCAGCGACGCCGCGUGAGUGAAGAAGUAUCUCGGUACGUAAAGCUCUAUCAGCAGGGAAGAAAAUGACGGUACCUGACUAAGAAGCCCCGGCUAACUACGUGCCAGCAGCCGCGGUAAUACGUAGGGGGCAAGCGUUAUCCGGAUUUACUGGGUGUAAAGGGAGCGUAGACGGCAGCGCAAGUCUGGAGUGAAAUGCCGGGGCCCAACCCCGGAACUGCUUUGGAAACUGUGCAGCUCGAGUGCAGGAGAGGUAAGCGGAAUUCCUAGUGUAGCGGUGAAAUGCGUAGAUAUUAGGAGGAACACCAGUGGCGAAGGCGGCUUACUGGACUGUAACUGACGUUGAGGCUCGAAAGCGUGGGGAGCAAACAGGAUUAGAUACCCUGGUAGUCCACGCCGUAAACGAUGAUUACUAGGUGUCGGGGGGCCAAGGCCCUCCGGUGCCGCCGCAAACG
rnacentral:rRNA from 1 species